rnacentral:rRNA from 1 species
UACGGAGGGUGCGAGCGUUGUCCGGAAUCACUGGGCGUAAAGCGCGUGUAGGCGGGUCCUUAAGUCAGGGGUGAAAUGCCAAGGCUCAACCUUGGAACUGCCUUUGAUACUGGGGAUCUUGAGUCCGGGAGAGGUGAGUGGAACUGCGAGUGUAGAGGUGAAAUUCGUAGAUAUUCGCAAGAACACCAGUGGCGAAGGCGGCUCACUGGCCCGGAACUGACGCUGAGACGCGAAAGCGUGGGGAGCAAACAGG